AGUGAACGCUGGCGGUAGGCCUAACACAUGCAAGUCGAACGGCAGCACAGUAAGAGCUUGCUCUUACGGGUGGCGAGUGGCGGACGGGUGAGGAAUACAUCGGAAUCUACUUUUUCGUGGGGGAUAACGUAGGGAAACUUACGCUAAUACCGCAUACGACCUACGGGUGAAAGCAGGGGAUCUUCAGACCUUGCGCGAUUGAAUGAGCCGAUGUCGGAUUAGCUAGUUGGCGGGGUAAAGGCCCACCAAGGCGACGAUCCGUAGCUGGUCUGAGAGGAUGAUCAGCCACACUGGAACUGAGACACGGUCCAGACUCCUACGGGAGGCAGCAGUGGGGAAUAUUGGACAAUGGGCGCAAGCCUGAUCCAGCCAUACCGCGUGGGUGAAGAAGGCCUUCGGGUUGUAAAGCCCUUUUGUUGGGAAAGAAAAGCAGCAGGUUAAUACCCCGCUGUUCUGACGGUACCCAAAGAAUAAGCACCGGCUAACUUCGU
rnacentral:rRNA from 1 species